CGCCGGACUCAGCAAGGACGGGCAGGACGGCUUCGGCUUCAUCCGGGAGCUCCAGUCCAGGGGCUGGGACAGCUCCCGUCGCUCUUCGUUCCGCCGUACCCUUCUCCACGACAGCGGUCCGGCAUGUUUUCCAGGGCCCAGACGAUGUCUACCGUAGAAAAGCCUCAGAAAGGCAGUAUCAGAGAAGGCUGGAAGAUGCAUCAGAGACUGAACUUCAGCAGUCAAUAAAGUGAAUAUGAAACU